rnacentral:tRNA from 1 species
GGGGUUGUAGCUCAGUGGUAGAGCACUUGCCUAGCAUGUGUGAGGCCCUGGGUUCGAUCCUCAGCACCA